AGCUCAUAUUUGCAGCACAUCAGCAACUGAAGGUGUAAGGUCUAGAAGCAAGUACAACAUUGCAGUGCUGAGACCACAGGUUUCUGUCUGGAAAAUAGACUACAGAAGGAUCAGGAAAAGGACGGACCCAAGCUUUCAUCCUGCAAAUUCACAUUUCACCCAUGAGGACUUCAGGCAUGAAGUCUGAGAAAGAUGAAAAAUUUGCUAUGUCUGGAAUUUGGACAAGAUGGUGGAGUAGAAGGACUUUGAGCUUCUGUCAUAACCACAGCAAAAUCAUAACUUCACUGCUGAACAACCAUGGAUAAAAAAAGACCGGAACCUAACAAGAAAGCUAAUCUAAUCUACACUGAAGACCUAAAUAAGUAACUACAAAAAGAUGGUAGGAGGGGUACACUCAUGAUAAAAUCAGUUGUUAUGUCCACCUUUUUCUUUUCUUGUCAAUCACACUAAAUUUCACCUAAAUGUGUAGGCUAUGUUUCUCUAGAAUCUAUUGAUUCCUUCUCACCAUUA